rnacentral:rRNA from 1 species
AGUGAACGCUGGCGGUAGGCCUAACACAUGCAAGUCGAACGGCAGCACAGUAAGAGCUUGCUCUUACGGGUGGCGAGUGGCGGACGGGUGAGGAAUACAUCGGAAUCUUCUUUUUCGUGGGGGCUAACGUAGGGAAACUUACGCUAAUACCGCAUACUACUUACGGGUGAAAGCAGGGGAUCUUCGGACCUUGCGCGAUUGAAUGAGCCGAUGUCGGAUUAGCUAGUUGGCGGGGUAAAGGCCCACCAAGGCGACGAUCCGUAGCUGGUGGGAGAGGAUGAUCAGCCACACUGGAACGGAGACAGGGUCCCGACUCCUACGGGAGGGAGCAGAGGGGAAUAUUGGACAAUGGGCGCAAGCCUGAUCCAGCCAUACCGCGUGGGUGAAGAAGGCCUUCGGGUUGUAAAGCCCUUUUGUUGGGAAAGAAAAGCAGCAGGUUAAUACGACGCUGUUCUGACGGUACCCAAAGAAUAAGCACCGGCUAACUUCGUG